rnacentral:rRNA from 1 species
GGCUCAGGACGAACGCUGGCGGCGUGCUUAACACAUGCAAGUCGAACGAGAAUCUGUGGAAAGAGGAUUCGUCCAAUUGAAGCAGAGGACAGUGGCGGACGGGUGAGUAACGCGUGAGGAACCUGCCUUUCAGAGGGGGACAACAGUUGGAAACGACUGCUAAUACCGCAUAACAUAUAGAUGUCGCAUGGCAUUUAUAUCAAAGAUUUAUCGCUGAAAGAUGGCCUCGCGUCUGAUUAGCUAGUUGGUGAGGUAAACGGGCCCACCAAGGCGACGAUCGGUAGCCGGACUGAGAGGUUGAACGGCCACAUUGGGACUGAGACACGGCCCAGACUCCUACGGGAGGCAGCAGUGGGGAAUAUUGCACAAUGGGGGAAACCCUGAUGCAGCGACGCCGCGUGGAGGAAGAAGGUCUUCGGAUUGUAAACUCCUGUUGUUGAGGAAGAUAAUGACGGUACUCAACAAGGAAGUGGCGGCUAACUACGUG